rnacentral:rRNA from 1 species
UACGUAGGGUCCGAGCGUUGUCCGGAUUUAUUGGGCGUAAAGAGCUCGUAGGCGGUUCCGUAAGUCAGAUGUGAAAACUCAGGGCUCAACCCGGAGACGCCAUCUGAUACUGCGGUGACUGGAGUCUGGUAGGGGAACACGGAAUUCCUGGUGUAGCGGUGAAAUGCGCAGAUAUCAGGAGGAACACCGAUGGCGAAGGCAAUCCCCUGGACCUGUACUGACGCUCAUGCACGAAAGCGUGGGGAGCAAACAGG